AAAAUUGCGCAAGGGAGGGAACUCUGACGCAGCGACGCCGCGUGAGCGAUGAAGGUUUUAGGAUCGUACAGCUCUGUCCGUGGGGAAGAAGGUCUUCGGACUGGACGGUACGUCAGGAGGAAGACCCGGCUAACUACGUGCGAGCCGCCGCGGUAAUACGUAGGGGGCUGGCGUUGUCCGGGAUUAUUGGGCGUAGAGGGUGCGUAGGCGGCCUUUUAAGUCAGAUGUGAAAGCCCACGGCUUAACCGUGGGACUGCAUUUGAAACUGGAGGGCUUGAGUAUCGGAGAGGGUAGUGGAAUUCCCAGUGUAGCGGUGGAAUGCGUAGAUAUUGGGAGGAACACCAGUGGCGAAGGCGACUACCUGGACGAAAACUGACGCUGAGGCACGAAAGCUAGGGGAGCAAAC
rnacentral:rRNA from 1 species